UUGCAUUUAUUUAUCCAUGAGAGACAGAGAGAGAGAGAGGCAGAGAUACAGAGAUACAGGCAGAGGGAGAAGCAGGCUCCAUGCAGGGAACCCGAUGCGGGACUUGAUCCUGGGCCUCCAGGAUCACACCCUGGGCUGAAGGCAGCGCCAAAACGCUGAGCCACCUGGGCUGCCCUGAGGUUCAAUUUUUAUCUGUAAAAUGUGAGUAACUAAAAUGUAGCCAAGCCUUCCUUGGGCAGCUCAGAUCUGACCUCACCACAUAACUUUGCACUAAAAAAAAGAAGAAAACCCAUAAAUCUGACUGAGAGAGUAUUACAGAAUAAUCUACCGUGUUCCUUUGAAAUCAGAGCAUGUUUUCAAAUGAUGGGUAUUUGUAAUCUUUCUUUCUUUCUUUCUUUCUUUCUUUCUUUCUUUCUUUCUUUCUUUCUUUCAGCUCUUCCUCCCUCCUUCCCUCCCUUCUUGCCUUCCUGCCUUCCUUUUGGCUGGCACAGAAAAUAAUGGUGUACUCCACCAUUGAUCAUAUCUUACAGGCAGUGGUGUCUUAGAUUUAAAUGAAAUAUGUCAGUGUCUUUUUUUCUAAGAGUUUAUUUAUAUAUUUGAGAGAGAAAGAGCACAAGCUGGCAGAUGGGGGCAGAGAGGGAGGAAGAAACAGACUCCCCGCUAAGCAGGGAACCCAACUUGAGGUUCCAUCCCAGGAUCUGAGCCGAAGGCAGAUGCUUAACCAACUGAGCCACCCAGGCACCCAGCAUGUGGCAGAGUCAGUAUUGAGGCUUUCUUGGAGCUCUGAAGGGAAGUCAUUUGCAUCUCCACCGGGGAAAAGGUCAUUUGCAAAAUAUGCCACUCUUCCACACAGUAGAUGUAACCUCACAGAGCUCAACCUAAUCGCUUGAAAAUACCCUUCUCCACACAUGUCCAAAGGAAAAGAAAAGCACAGAACACAUCCUGAGUCUCCACGAAGUGAUUAAUGAGCUAAAAUUCACUUUUGAUUCGAGAAGGUCCUGACUUGCUAGCUCCUCAUUGGUCUCCACAUGGGGCACACCAUCUUGUUACUCUCCACCCGCGUUCCCUCCCAUACCCCCAGGACAACAAGACACCUAGGUCAAGAAAGAAAGAGAGAAAAUACAUUCUAUUCUUCUCCAUCUGACUAAGGCUUGACACUGGGAGUGACCUCACUGUCUUCGAGAAUCCUGGCCUCACCUUUACAGGUCUCAGUAGGACACCUCUACCUUUGUAUGACUAGCGGGUGAUAGCACCAACUGUUGUGCAUGGAAUAAAUGCUCCUAUAUUGGUGGCAGGGAUAAUCUCCAUCUCCAUAGAGCGUUGCUUGUACCUCUGUCCUGUGUGUCAUUAUGUUAACAAUGGGGAGGCAUAUAUGGGAGAACUUCUAUGGUUGACCUGGUUCUUAGAGACCUCCAGAUGAGGAGCUAUUUGUCCUGGACAAAAGUUCUCUGAUUGAUCACUGUGUCCACAGCACAUUAUCAACCUCAGGGGGCCUUACUUUAGAAAAAACACUGUCUACAGUGGUGCUAUGGAGUAUAUGUUCUCAGUAUUUGUUGCUUACUUUGGUCAUGGUAUCAGUAGAGAUAAAUGCCUAUUGUUAAAAGGCCUAGAGCUACUAUUUGAGGAUAGUUGGACCCAAAGCCCCAUGUGACAGAGAAAAAAGAUAAAAGAUGGCAAAAGAGAUAAUUUCUCUCAAUUCUAUCCACCCAGGCCAUAAAAUGUGAAUGCCAUUUUUUAGGUGGUAGGGAGCUGUGAAAGUCUCUAUUAAACUUUGUGAGGAACCACCUGACCACAUGUGGCAGAUUGUAUUUUCCAAAGGUGGCCCCACCAAUAUCUUCAUCCCACAUGCUCUUCUGCAAUGUGACGUUGCUACUCUCUCAAGAGAUGGGUCUAAUGGGUCACCUAUCCUUGAAUCUGACUGGCCUUAGUGACUCCCAUGUAAGAUUGCCAGGUUUAG